AUAAGUUGGCAUCCAUUGAGUAAAGGGAGAAACACCAAACGUCAAAUUAACAACUAUCUGGGAAACAACAAAAGACCACACCCGCAUUAAAGAAAAUCUAGCUAACAAGAAAACUAACCCUAAAUCAAAACCAAAAAAAACCAAAACAGGAACACAAAAGAACUCCUAUUCGAAUCAGAAAACCCAAGAGACCAAUUGUAAACUCUCGCAAAACUGCAUCACAGCAGCUGACAGAUAGAACAACAAUGCGCAUCCAAAGAGAGAAAAAAGUUUGGUAGCCAAAUUCGGAGUGAAAGGUGAAGGUUUCUGAAUUGACCAAACCCAAAAUACCCAAAUCAGGCAUUCUUUACCCAUUGCGUUCAGUCCAUCUCUACUAUCUUUUCCACCGUCGCCUCCUCGACCCAGAAUCUUGCCGAUUGAAACCGUCGACCCUCUUUUGCCAAGGAAUGCGCCGCACAGUUUGCAUUUCGUCGAAUAUGCAACAAAGAGUUCAAUCGCUUAAUGACAGUCAAGGAGUCGCCUUCCAUCUGUACCUUACGAAAGCCCAUAUCAAUUGCAAACCGGACAGCUUGUUCCCAUGCCCAAGCCUCAGCUAUAAACGCAUAUGCCACAUGAUCCACGGGGUAAGUACAUGCCUCCAUAAUCUGCCCCAAAUGAUUUUGUGCUAAGAUUCCUGAGAUAGCUGAGUGUGUUUUUGCAUUGUAAGAACUGUCAAAGUUAAUUUUAAUAAAACCUGGGUCAGGUGGUAUCUCCAAAUCUGUUGCUGAGUGUACUGUGAUAACCCUGACAGGACUGAUUUCCUCAAUUUCAUGUAGAUAACCGAAAAUAAACCCCACUAAUUCAUUCACUGUCUUUCGAACACCAUAAUGAACAAGUCGAUUCCUUGCAAAUCAGACCGCCCAUGGGGUAAUUGCCAAUAACUUCUUGGACUUCUCAUUUGCCACACGAAAAUUUUCAUCCAACCAGCAUCUGUAUUCUGGGAAAGAUGAGACAGGGGGAAGCAUAUGGUUUAACCCUUUUAUUAUUUGACAGGUGACCGACCAAAGUCUCAAUAGGUGAUCAACUGAUUCCAACCCAGCUUGGCACAUAGGGCAAAUUGUAGAAACAUGCAUAUUUUCUCUGUUUAGAUUGGCAUAUGUAGGAAUGUAAUCAUUGUAAAUUUUCCAAAAUGUAAUUUUUACCUUACCAGGAAACUGUAAAGCCCACAAUGCUGUAUAGGGCUAUUACUUUGGAGCAUGCUACUAGGAUAGGCAUCUGGUAUUCGUAAUUUGUCCAGUAGUGGUAAUUUAUAACCACUCUUGACUGUGUAAUCACCCAUACCCUCAUACUUCCAAACCAUCGUAUCUGCCUGCUUCGACUUGGUAAGUGGGAUAUUCAAGAUACAGUCAGCUUGGUCCCAAUCAGUGAUGGCACGGACGAUGUCUUCCUUCCAAGUACAGUGUCUCGAAGUGAUCAAUUGGUCCACCGUAGUGUAAUUGAUAUCAAUAUUGUGACAAUUAAUUCUACCAUCUCCAGGUCCGGGAAUCCAAGAGUCAUUCCAAAUGUUCACAACUGAUCCAAUACCUAUGCGCCAUCCUAUUCCUCUUUCAAUCGGCCCCCUAGCAGCCAGAAUACUCCUCUAGAAUUCGUCAGUAUUGCUCUAGAAGAAGCUGGCUUGGGCCUUAAACCAAUCUCAAUUUUAGGAUGGUGCGAGCUUUGAAGUUUGAAAGGUAAAAUGUUCCGAAGAAAAAGCGGGUGUUAACUAAAUUGUAAUACAAGUCUGUAAUUUCCAAUGAGUGAAAUCCUAUCUCAUUGAAAGGUUCUUCCAUGUGAAGAAAAUGAGAUAAUCUUGUAAUGCGGAUGGGACACAGUUCAAGUUACAAUAAACCCUAUUUAAUCCAAUUGAUUAAGUUCCACAA